GAUGAAUGCUGGCGGCGUGCCUAAUACAUGCAAGUCGAGCGAACAGACGAGGAGCUUGCUCCUCUGACGUUAGCGGCGGACGGGUGAGUAACACGUGGAUAACCUACCUAUAAGACUGGGAUAACUUCGGGAAACCGGAGCUAAUACCGGAUAAUAUAUUGAACUGCAUGGUUCAAUAGUGAAAGACGGUUUUGCUGUCACUUAUAGAUGGAUCCGCGCCGCAUUAGCUAGUUGGUAAGGUAACGGCUUACCAAGGCAACGAUGCGUAGCCGACCUGAGAGGGUAAUCGGCCACACUGGAACUGAGACACGGUCCAGACUCCUACGGGAGGCAGCAGUAGGGAAUCUUCCGCAAUGGGCGAAAGCCUGACGGAGCAACGCCGCGUGAGUGAUGAAGGUCUUCGGAUCGUAAAACUCUGUUAUUAGGGAAGAACAAAUGUGUAAGUAACUAUGCACGUCUUGACGGUACCUAAUCAGAAAGCCACGGCUAACUACGUG
rnacentral:rRNA from 1 species